UACGUAGGGACCAAGCGUUGUUCGGAUUUACUGGGCGUAAAGGGCGCGUAGGCGGCGUGGUAAGUCACUUGUGAAAUCUCUGAGCUUAACUCAGAACGGCCAAGUGAUACUGCUGUGCUAGAGUGCAGAAGGGGCAAUCGGAAUUCCGGGUGUAGUGGUGGAAUACGUAGAUAUCCGGAGGAACACUAGCGGCGAAGGCGGCUUUCUGGUCUGAUACUGACGCUGAGGCGCGAAAGCGUGGGGAGCGAUCCGG
rnacentral:rRNA from 1 species